rnacentral:rRNA from 1 species
AUUGAACGCUGGCGGCAGGCCUAACACAUGCAAGUCGAGCGGAUGAAGGGAGCUUGCUCCUGGAUUCAGCGGCGGACGGGUGAGUAAUGCCUAGGAAUCUGCCUGGUAGUGGGGGAUAACGUCCGGAAACGGGCGCUAAUACCGCAUACGUCCUGAGGGAGAAAGUGGGGGAUCUUCGGACCUCCCGCUAUCAGAUGAGCCUAGGUCGGAUUAGCUAGUUGGUGGGGUAAAGGCCUACCAAGGCGACGAUCCGUAACUGGUCUGAGAGGAUGAUCAGACACACUGGAACUGAGACACGGUCCAGACUCCUACGGGAGGCAGCAGUGGGGAAUAUUGGACAAUGGGCGAAAGCCUGAUCCAGCCAUGCCGCGUGUGUGAAGAAGGUCUUCGGAUUGUAAAGCACUUUAAGUUGGGAGGAAGGGCAGUAAGUUAAUACCUUGCUGUUUUGACGUUACCAACAGAAUAAGCACCGGCUAACUUCGUG